rnacentral:ncRNA from 1 species
UUAGGUCCCAAGGGUUGGGCUGUUCGCCCAUUAAAGCGGUACGCGAGCUGGGUUCAGAACGUCGUGAGACAGUUCGGUCCCUAUCCGGCGCGGGCGUAGGAUAUUUGAGAGGAGCUGACCUUAGUACGAGAGGACCGGGUUGGACUGACCUCUGGUGUACCGGUUGCACUGCCAAGUGCAUGGCCGGGUAGCCAAGUCGGGAAGGGAUAAACGCUGAAGGCAUCUAAGCGUGAAGCCCCCCUCAAGAUGAGAUAUCCCAUAGC